AAUCUUGUAUCAAACUGUACAAAAAAAGAGAGCAAAUAUCUGAUUAGUAGCUAAAGCUGAGAAAGGUAUCACUUAUACAACAUACACCUGUAAUAUAUCAU